GCGGGCUUUUGGUGUUCUUUACCUGGUCAGCACGUAUUUUUAGAAAUUAUCAGAUUGUUGAUCUGACCAUUCCUAAGGGUUUUGCUACCUCACUGGUGGGUUUUGUUUUUCUAGCCUAAUCUCUCUGAGGUUCAUAUUUAACAUUACAAUGAAAAGUUAUACAAUACAAAUUCAACACUUCAGAUAUUCUGUCCACUUCAUUUGUCAUUAAUGACAAGUGAACAGCUCUCACCUUGGCUAUGUUGUCAAAUUAAUUUUGAGGCUCUGAAAAUGUCUAAUUUCUAAACAAUUCAUCCAAAAUAUUUGUCAAAUCCCUUUAAUCAAAGCGGAAAGUUUGCACCUCAGUUGUUUGGUUUUUACAAUCUCCUGUCUUUACACAGGCAAAAAUUACAUAUCUAACUCCACACAGGCUGGAUUAUGCAUGAAAAUGAUCUUCAAUCAUACAGUGUCAGCGUAUGUCAUUUUGGGUAUUAUUCAGGGUAAAAACUCAACUUAAAUAAGGACAGUGUUUCAAUUUAAAGUAAGUGGGGUGCUUGCAUGUUCUGAGAAUUUUGUGAUCACCCUAAAAGAAGAAUUUCCAUUAAGAUUGGCAAGUUUAUUUAACAAAAGAAUUUUGUAUUUGUAAUUUAUGAUUUUGAUCAUUCACUUUUACACUUUCCUCCAAAUUUUCAACAUUUGUUAUUAAUUUUGGGAAAAAAAAGACCAUAAUUAUGUUAUCUGGAUGCAUUUGAGGGUUCAAACAGCUCAUGUGUUCUGCAGAAAGACCUUCCACCUAAAUAUAGUUUUUUUUAAGUAUAUUAAUCCUGAUAAUUAUGUGAAUUAAUAACAAUAAUCAAUUAUUUCCUGUUUAAUACGAAUAACACUUGUGAUUAUUGCCCUACUAAUGUGUGUAAUGAUGAGAUGCCUUUUUUUCUUCUCCCACUUACUCUGCAGUGACAAAUGUUGUUACACAGAUCUUUGUUUAAGGAAAGCCUGUGUCGGUGUGUUAUUGUGUCGCUUUUGCAGUUUCCUCACUUAUUUGUGCCAAAUCUGAAACCAGCUUUCACCACUGCUGUCAAGCCAACUGUGAAUAACAAUUAGAGGGACUUCCGUGCCUUGGCAGUCACUCUUGUGUUUUCUUCCAAAGAAUGUCCCACUGAAACGGUUUGGCGAACCGUUUCAAGGCAGGUUUCUUUCCUCAGUUUUCUUCUGUGCUUUAGAUGCGUUCUUAAAUCCUUCACUGCCAUCGUUACAAUCAAAGUUUACAGGAUUACAGCGCGUGUUACUUAGCAAUUCCUUGUCUCCGCAUUGAUGCAUUUUAUACUUUUUUUCUGUUGUUGCUGAUGUUGUCUUUUGGUCAUUGCUUGCAUAUCUGCUCCUUUGAAUGGAUGACCUAUAUAAGUGGCGUUGGGGCUCAGUAGUGCAGAUGUUUUGUCCAGAUGUGGGUGUAAUUCAAUGCUCGAAGCGGAGGAUCCGGAGCACAAGAGGAAGAGUUUUCCCUCCGUCCACACCAUCCCAGCGCCUCACAUUCCUCUCUCCACCCUCUCAGUGCUGCUUUGUGUCUUUCUGUCUAUAGAGCUUAACUCUCAAACUGCACCUCCCUUUCCAGCAGAGCCGGUUUCUGUAGAGCACUUGUAACAAAGUUUCACAGACAGUGUUUUAUGUUAUUUACAUUUGUGACAUUUCUUUAGGCGACUUGGACUAGUAUUGUUAAGUUUGGCCAGCAUUCCUUCUCCUAGUUUGAAAUAAGAUGUGAUGUGGAUUUUUGAGUGGGAUCUGGAGUCUUUGUGAUUCGUGAUGUUUCCAGCGGAAGUUCACGUAGAAGUCUUUCAGGCUUUGUUCACUUGUAUCAUUUUUGAACCCACAAGCCCAUGACGGAUGAAUGUUAACCACCUAGCGAUAUAGCAACAUUGAAUAAACAAAUUAGUCAAGUUUAGUGAUUUCUUUUAGCCCUCUAAUUCCUCUCUGCAAGCAGCUUUGCUAAAAUGAAUGUGAUUGGAGACACAAACGGGUUUGAGCCAGUGUUUAGGCUUUGCUCAAUAGUAACUGUCCGCUCAUGUUCUCUGUGAUUGUUGGUUAUGCAUAAACUGAUGCAGAAUUAAAAAUGGUAAAUGGCCUGUAUUUGUAUAGCGCCUUACUAGUACCUAAGGACCCCAAAGCGCUUUACACAUCCAGUCAUCCACCCAUUCACACACACUGGUGCAUGCAGUGAACGACACCUAUAGUGCUCACUGAGAGUUGCAGCUCUCCACUAUGUUGCCUAUUCAGAAGCUGUACUGUAGCGUUUGUUAUCAAAUGUUUCAUAUUAAGAAAUAAACAGGAAUUCAUCCACAAAAAUGCUAAUUUGCACAGACUGCUCUAAUUAAAGUGUAUUUGCGUUAGUUUGACAGAUGCUUCAUACAUCAACAUCCAAAGAGGUCCUGUCUGUUUAAAAUAAAUAAAUAAAUAAAAGCUCUUUGUAAAUUCUGGCUUCAUUAAAAAUCUCAGUUCAACAAUUGAAAGUCAUUAUUAUCAUUAUUAUCCUAAACCAUGUUUCAUAUCUAUCAGCAUCUAAUUUGCAGUGUAAUUACUUCCAUUGCUUGUGUGACAGUGUUGUUCCAAAACUAUUUAAUGUGUUACUGUUUCUUUUUUCUUUGUAUACACAGUUCAAACAAACGUCUUCUAUGUUCAUAUGGCACUAACAUGUCUGUAUUAUUAAAGCAUUAUCACAUCUUGUGACUGAGUUGACUCCAUAA
ensembl:lncRNA